GCUCGCUUCGGCGGCACAGACACUGAAAUUGGAACGAUACAGAGAAGAUUCGCGUGGCCCCUGCGCAAGGAUGCGACGCAAAUUCGUGAGGCGUUCCAUGUUAAA